GGAUGUAGCAGUAUCCUGCUUUCAGUCACGUCCGUAAUAGUUAACACACCCCCACACCACACCACACACGCGAUCGACCGUACAAAUUUCCAAUUUCAGCGACAUGCCUGGCUAGGCCUAGCCCGGAGAAUUUAAAUAGAACAAUGGAUCUUGAGUCUGCUAAAAAUGUUGUAUUAGAGACUCUGAUUGAAGCAUCAAGCCAAAAUGUUUCUCUUUUGAAGCCAGCAGAACAGAAGCUUAAAAGCUGGGAAACACAACCAGGAUUUUAUCCAAUCCUGCAGUCAAUUUUCAGUACGUACAGUGUUGAUGUUAAUGUGAGAUGGUUAGCUGUUUUAUACUUCAAGAAUGGUAUAGACAGAUACUGGAGGAAAACUGCCCCAAAGUAAGGAUUCUUUAAAGAUAUACUG